AUGGAGGUGUUGUGCACACCUGAGUGUGUGUGCAGGCGAAAGGGUGAACUUGCUCCCUGGAAACACCACCCCCAGACCUUUCCGAACCCCAUCCACAAUAACCAAUAUUUCUCUAGUGCAGUGGACACAAGGCUUUCCACAUCUCAGUCUCCCUGGGCAGCAAGUGAGGCUGAUACCAUUGGGAUCUCCGUUUUAACAGGAAAAGAGACCUGGGCCGCGUAUCAGCCUUUUGGGCUCAAUCUCGUGGCUGAACCACUGCUUUCCACAGUCAGGUGCUGUGCAGCUCUGAAUAGACCUUUCCAGUGGAAGGCUCUAGGGCUCUCCUGUGGAUGUUCCUUCCUGCAACCUGGAGGGCACGCAAGUCAGAGGUCCUUUGGGGCCAGUGGGCCGGUGCUGAGCAGGUGAGGCUGCUCUAAUGGUUAUUAAACGUCCCAGCUGGUGCUGCGCGUCUAAGUGUGGCUGAGUGUGGGACCCACGAGGCCCUUCUCCCAUGAUUUCAGCCUGGUCUAAGGGCUCUGGGGGAGUGAGAGCUGAGGUUCAGGCAUCUCUUCCUUCAAACGGAUAUAUGGAAUAAUGCGGAAGAUGGUGGCGUGAGCCAAUGGCAUGAAGGAGCCAGGUGGAAGGAAGUUGGACUGUUUGCCUGCUGGGGAAAGGAAGGGACACUGCCGUACCCUGCUGCUGAAAGUGGGGUCCACGGGCCAGCAGCACUGUCACCACCUGGAAACCCUGUAGGAAAUGCAGAACCUCAGACCGACCCCAGAUUUAGGGUAUCAGAACCUGCUUUUUCAAAAAAUUGUUAAUGAGACAGGGUCUGGCUCUGUCGCCCAGGCUAGACUGCAGCAGCGUGAUCUCAGCUCACUGCAACCUCUGCCUCCUGGGCUCAAGCGAUUCUCCUGCCUCAGCCUCCUGAGUAGCUGAGACUACAGGUGCAUGCCACCAUGCCCAGCCAAUUUUUUGGAUUUUUAGUAGAGACAGGGUCUCACCAUGUUGCCCAGGCUGGUGUCAAACUCAUAGCCUCAAGCGAUCCUCCAUCCUCAGCUUCCCAAAGUUCUGGGAUUACAGGCAUAAGCCAUCAGGACUGGCCAGAGUAUGCUUUUUUUUUUAAAUUAAAUUAAAUUUUUUUUUGAGAUGUAUCACUCUGUCGCCCAGGCUGGAGUGCAGUGGCGGAAUCUCAGCUCACUGCAACCUCCACUUCCUGGGUUAAGGGAUUCUCCUGCCUCAGCAUCCUGAGUAGCUGGGAUUACAGGUGUGUACCAUGACACCUGGCUAAUUCUUUUUGUAGUUUUUUAAUAAGAUGACUUACAUGCGCUAAAAUGCUUGAGAAGCACAGUGUUAGUUAUCAACCCCAGGGAAGGUUUCAGUUCCCCCAGUCAUACUGAGCUUCUAUGGGGCGUUCCAAUAACUAAGAGAAAGAGCCUCUGACACAAGUCAGUGGGCAAAGCUCUAGACUUCAUUUCUAGCACUGUGCUGCCCAAUAUGGCAGCCAUGGGCCAUGUGUGGCUAUUAAGGUUAAAUGUAUAUUAAAGGAGAUGAAGUACAGUGAAACAUUUCAGUGCUUCGGUCACACAAGUCACAUUUCAAGUGCUCAGUAGUCACACGUGGCUUGUGGCUGGUAUAUUUGUGGCACCAAUUACUGAACAAUUCCCCUAUCACAGAAAAUUAUACUGAGCAGUGUUGGUCUAGUGUCUGACAGUGUAGCCAUGUGCAGAGAAUGACCCAACCCCAG
rnacentral:lncRNA from 1 species